rnacentral:tRNA from 1 species
AUAAAGUAGCUUAGCCCUAAAGCGCUCAACUUACAAUUGAGACACACUAGCCACAACCUAGUCUUUCUGAAC